rnacentral:lncRNA from 1 species
AAAAAAAAAAAAAAAAUUACUCUAACACAUUUUAAAAUUGAGAUUGAAGUAAAGGUUUCUGCUUACAGAGAAAAAUAAAAAUAAAAACAAAAAAAUAGCAAUCCAAAACUAAGCUCAUCUGCAACUCCUAAUAAGAAAAGAAGAAUUUAGAAAAGUAGCAGAGAUAUCAUUGUAAGGAUUGCAUCAAACAAACAUCACCAACACAAAAGUAGAAAUUAGACUCUUGAUCUAAACUAUUCCCAAGCAGUAAGCAGUCAAUUGGACUUUUUUACAACAUAACCCUCUAAAAUUUUACAAUUUGCAAAAUAAUCCUAUCAAAUUUAUAUUUAGCAAACUAACCCUCUUUUCGUCACUGUGUUCUGAAAUCUUUUAAAGACUGGUGAAUCGUUCAUCGCAUUCAUUAAGAUGGUUAACGAUUCCCGUCUUCUUCCUAAUUUUUUUUUAAAAAAGUGAGAUUGUUAAAAUUGUAUGCAGAUUAUAUGGAAAAUAAAAAAAGUGAGGCUGUUAGGAUUGUAUAUGGAUUAUUAGAAUUUUUGUUUGAUUGUUAGAAUUAUAUAGAUAAAUUAUUAGAAUUUUUUUGAUUGUUAAGAUUGAAUGGAUAUAUUAUUAGGAUUUUCAAGUUGUUAAGAUUAUAUGUGAUGUUUUAUUAUUAGGAUUAUAUGGAUAGAUUAUUAGAAUUUCUUUUGAUUGUUAGGAUUGUAUGGAUAGAUUAUUAGAAUUUUCAAGUUGCUAAGAUUAUAUGUGAUUUGUUGAAAUAUUUAUAUAGUUGUUAGAAUUAUAUAUGGGAUAUGGAAAGAAACAGUAAAUAAGUGAAAAACGAUGAAUGAUUCACCGCUUUUGUGAGAAAUUAGGAACGCGGUGAAUGCGUUCACCGUUUUUAUGAAGGCGAUGAAUCGUUCAUCGUCUUUAAGAGAAAAUUCCAAUGUGGCUCCUAUAUGGCGAAAAGAGGGUCAGUUGUUCUAAAUAUAAUUUUGGUAGUGUUAUUUCGCAAAUACCAAAAUUUUAGAGGGUUAUUUUGUAAAAAAGUCCGAGUCAAUUUCUCAGUAUUUUAUGUCACUACCAACAUGAUGGCACAAAAGGAAAUUACUGCUUAAACCUCUUUUUUCUAAAAUCAUGUUUCGCACGUUGACUAGUUUUGAAGGCAAUUUGGUUAGGAUUUGGUUAGAUUUGUAGAUUAAUUCUAGUUGCAUAAGAAUUAAUAUUUAAAUUUAUUGAAGAUAAAUUAAGAAUUAAAUAUUAAUUAGAGUAUGAAUCUAACUAGAUUAAAAUAAAUAUUUAAAUCUAUUAGAGAUAAACGAAAUAUAGAUUUAAAUAUUUAUUAGAGUAGGAAUCCUAAAUAUACUAGGAUUUGGAUACGUUUUAUUGUAAGCAUUAUAUAAACACCAUGUGGGGUGCUUUUUGGAGAGUGAGUACGACCAAAAAGUUAAAGCUCUUUGGUGGGUUGUAUGAGAGAGAGAGAGAGAGUUGGCCGGUUGCAUGCACCUAGUACACGGGUGCAUGUGAGAGAGAAAGUGAGUUGUAUUUUAGAUUUAUAAAAGACGAGAGAAGAGUAAAAGAGAUUCAGAAAGAGGGCUCGGGUUGUAGCUACUCUAUACAGAAGAGGAGUCAGGUGUAAUAUUCUGUUAUUUAAUGAAUCUUAUUUUACCCGCAUAUUUUCUGUUUUGGUUUUUCUAUCUUUUGUGAUUGUAUCAGUUUUUGCUGAGGAGACGGGUUUAUGAUAAAAAUCUGAUUCAACGCUUCCGUUGCGGAAUCCCAACAAUCGAUACCGGAUCAACAACAGUCAGUAUCGGAGUGGGUUGCGGAUUCACAAAAUCCGGUACUGGGGCGAGUACCGGAUUCCCAACA